rnacentral:lncRNA from 1 species
ACUCCAUAUCAUCACAGUCUACAAGUUCUUCUUGAACGGCCAUGAUGGAUUCCAUGGUUUUUAUCAGGUCUUCUCGUCCAGGGAUGUCAGCUAGUCCCAUCAGACUGUUUAGGGAGUUGAAGAAAGUGUUUGAGAGAUGGUUGUGAGAUCUGGCAUGGAUGCUGCUCAGUGCUUCGUUGAUUAAGGAGUUGGUGAUUUGGAUCAGAGACAGAUUCAUAGCUGCGAGUGAGAGCUGCCCCUGUUCUGUUUUUGUGGCAGCUUGCAGCUGGGGGAUUACUUCUGGUAAGGUCCUGAUGUUUAUUUUCUGUAGCAAUGAUUCUAUGUAGGAUGUUGAUGUUGUCAGGGUCGUGACUUGGGAUUGAAUUUCAACCAGCCUGGGGUCUGAUGCCUGUGCCAAGACAGUAGCAUUUUUUAUGUAAUCUGAUAAGGUAUUUAUGAGGGCAGGUGAGGCGGCCUUGUCCUGUAUUGCCUUGAGCGUCUGGUUAAUUUCACUCAGAAUCUUGUCCAGGGAUUCAGAGUCUGCCAUUUUCUUUUUGAGGUCGUUUAAGUGGCUGGAUGUUUUCUGGAAGAUGUCCAGGACAUGCACUGGUUCCCUGAAUGCACGCUCGGGCCAUGUCUCAUCAAUAAUCUUUGACAGCUCUCUGCCAAUGUAAGACAAUUGUUGUUGACUACUGUCAAUUUCUGGAGUUCUGAUUUCUGCCCUCUCCACACAGGCGUUGAUGACUGUGAGCAAGGUAGUGACAUUUUUCAGUAGCGUCCUCACUGGGGGCACGAAGGUUGUUUCUAUAGCAUUUUCUGAGGGAAUGUUGCUGAUUAAUUCUGAAAGGGUCUCCACGGUGUCCUUUUCGAUGGCCUUGACAGCCUCCUGGAUAGCACUUGAAAGUAGUGGUGUGCGGGUUUCUGUUUCUAGAUAAAUGGGCCCCAGGGAGGCGGGUGGAUCGGUGUUAUUUAAAACUGAAAGCAUCAAAGCCUUGAAUCUGGCAUCCUGCUCACUUGUUAGAGCCAUGUUGUUUGAGACCACCCUUUUUAGGUCCUGUACAGUCGAGACCAGAUUAUUGGCCUCUUCUACCGAGCACACACAAAAAAAAUCUUGGGGGAAGGACUCGGUGAAGGUCGUGAUGAUAUCCUUUAUGUCAAGGCUACUUUUGCUUAUCUCCAGGGCGCGGGUGAGAUUUUUACAGUGGAGUAGGAUUUUUUGGAGGUCCGUCGCGCGGUUAGCGUGCAUGGCGGGUAGGCACGCGCAUACUUUGGCCUGGACAUGGUCUGCGAGGUUUGGGUCUGAUAUGAGAUUAUUUUUUAGCAGGGUGAACAGUUUUUCAAUUUGGAGGUUUGAAUUAAUUAACAGUUUGAUAUCAUCAUUUUUAAUUUGUAGCUGCUUGGACCACGCCAUUAGAUAAUUCAGAACAUUCAAGGCCUCGGUGGGAGUGUAGUCGCUGUCUGAAACCACUCCAAUCUCUAGUACCUGUUGGAGGACAUUCUUGAGCUGAUGGAGAGCCCUGGUCAGGCGAUAUGAUUCUCCAGUAUCAGUGUCUACUAAUGCGGGGAAUGAUGGCACAUGGCCAGGCAGAGUCAGGGAAUUUAAAAGCUGGUCCACGGCAGCCAGGUUGGGGAGGGUGACGCUUGGGAGGGACGUCCCAGACCUGUCUGGCUCGGCCUCCCUGUCGCCCUCGCUCUCGUCCUCCAUAUCAUCGUCCCCAGUAAGAUCGAUGACGUCAUCGUCCAUCGUUAAGUCAAUUAUGUCUGGAGAGGGUAGAGGGUGUGUCAUUUUCUCUGGAGGGGUGCGCCCAGAUUCUUUCCUCUUUUUGUUGGCAUCAGUCCACUCCUCCCCACAGCUCAUAGGAUACCUCUUCCUCUUUGCCUUUGACAUGUAUUUCAAGAGGGAGCCCACUUCUGGGUCAGGCGACGAUGACGCCUGUGGUGACGAACAGAAACUCUGGUUGGUGGUUGGUAGGUCAUAUUCUUCCAAGAUUAUUUUUGAACCAUGUAAAUCAGAAAAGGAGAUGACUUUAUAGUGAGACAUGAUGUAAUUUUUGGGAGAAAUGUGUCCUGGUACAAAAUAUAGGAAGCACGCAGUAUAUUCGCGGGACACGCCCCCGACAUAUUUUAUCAGAGCAUCUGGAUCAGACGUGCUGAGUACGUGGGCUGGACUCUCAGGAAUGUCCUUUAGACAGUGUGGAUCAAACAUGGUGUACCUGCCCCCCUGGAUGAUUAUGGCCCCAGAUUUUUGUCCACAGAUGUACAAAAUAUACUGGAUAGUGUUUGAAUAAUUGGCCGUCAGCAGGUCACGCAGGGACGUGAUGCAGGAGUCAGAAAUGUCAGCUGGCAUGCCAAGCAGGCCAAACAUUUCAGCAGAGGUAUAGAUGAACCCAGACCACUUUCUUGUUUGGACAUAGCAAGGCACGUGGUCCAGCUGGGCAUAUUGGCCAGGAGAUAAGAGGCCCAAUUUUCUCAGAUUGCUGUCUAACUCUGCCCCAAACUUUAAAACUUUAUUAAGGUCGUGGGUCUCGGUUAUGGGGGCUUCAUUGUUGAAGUAGGAAGACAUCAGGUAUAUGAUACAGUUGCUAAGACACUGAGCCCCUGCAUUUUCUCCAAAUUUACAAUCUGCCUGAUUGGUUGAGGCUGUACCUUCGAUGCGAAACCCAGCCAAAGAAGCAGGCAGGGCCAUUAUGAUAGCAGUUUUAUUAUGUCAUGAAUUUUUACAAUAGUGUAGGGGCACUCUGCGUGCUCGGCGGUGUAGGUUUGUUGUGUAAAUAUUUGCCAGUUAACAUCCAGGGGUAUUCUGUCAUAAGUGCUGGAAUAUUUUUUCAGUUGGGGUGGAUGUUUCUCACCACGGGCAGCGUUUUGGCUAAAAAUCUGGGGGUAGGUAGAAUAUAGCAUGGUUAGGUCUUCAUCUGUGGGGUUUCCCCCAGCCUGGGUCAUUGACGUGUCUGUGGGUGGAGCCAUCAGAUUUACUGGAAUUUCUUUAAGAUUUUUGAUAAUUUCCACAUUUCCAGCCGAUGCCGCCUUUAAGAUUGUGGGGGUAAUGAUUUCCUGGGAAAACAGGUCAUGAAACCUUUUUCUUAAGCAACUUGAACAUCCUUUCGAGAGAAGGGAUAGUCCAGAGCUAAUUCUGGAGAGUAUGCCACUGAAGGACUGUUUGAGUUGGUUCCAAGGUUCGGUGUCAAAUUCUAUCCCCAACUCAUGCUGUUUAUAUGCCUCUAGGUCUUGAAGAAGUGAGAGCACCGUGCUGUAUUCCCCCCUGAGUUCACCCUCCAGAUCUGUUAUCUCCAUCAGGAGCUGACUGUGAUCCUUUUCCACCUGGCUAAUCAGACUCUUGAGGGUCUCCAAGUGAACUUCCAGAAUCUGUCCACUGGAGGACAGUAUGGUGAAUUGAUGGGUUAGGGGGUGAUAGUUAUAUUUGGUGUGACAUAAAAUUGAGCCCAGACGUAAGAUGUUUCUGCCCCUCAACAAAAGGUGUUCGACCUUGGGGAUGAUGGCCGUGAUAUAAUCUACAGAAUUGAUAUAGGAUGCGCCAGUGUCUAGUACAAAUAAGUAGAGGAUUAGAUCCUGGGGUAUAGAAAAUGUCUGGUUAAUUUUGUUGAUCUUUUUCUUUAGAUCCAGGGCAUGGUCCAAGAGAUUCUUCAUGGCAGAAGGUUUAUUGGUCCCGUUGAUGAUGUCGAGCAGCUCAAAGUAGAACAUGCCCAGCGGUCUGCGGAUCUCCUGCAGCUGGGGCGUGUCGGUGAUAGCGAAGCUCAGCAGCCAUCUUAUUUGGAAGAGGGCCCGGUUUCUUGACGUCUUUCUGGAAAAUAUCCCCUGUAUGGUGGGACCAACGAUGUGUCUGAUGAAGUACUUGUAAAACAUUUUAUGGGAGACCAUGGCAGGCUCGUAGGAUAAGUCCCCGACAGGCAUUCUUUUACAGUAGGCCGCGACCCUCUCUUCGGAAACCUGGUGCUCGCAAGAGGGUUCCAUCAGUGGAUUCUGGGUGAUGAGGACAAUGCCCCAAUUCCUGUUUACCCAUGAAAAAAAUAAAGUUCUCAUGAUAUCUGA